ACCUCAAAUCAGGUAAGAAUACCCGCUGAACUUAAGCAUAUCAAUAAGCGGAGGAAAAGAAAAUAACAAUGAUUCCCUCAGUAACGGCGAGCGAAGAGGGAUAAGCUCAAAUUUUAAAUCUGCUGGGUUUCACCUAACAGAGUUGUAUUUUGAAGAAACGUUUUCUGCGUCCCGGGUUAGCCUAAGUCCUUUGGGAUAAGGUAUCAUGGAGGGUGAGAAUCCCGUUCAUGGUUAAUCUUAAGGAUGCUCUACGAUACGUUUUCCAAGAGUCGAGUUGUUUGGGAUUGCAGCUCAAAAUGGGAGGUAAAUUUCUCCUAAGGCUAAAUAUUGGCGAGAGACCGAUAGCGAACAAGUACCGUGAGGGAAAGAUGAAAAGAACUUUGAAAAGAGAGUUAAACAGUACGUGAAAUUGUUGAAAGGGAAACGAUUGAAGUCAGUCAUACCAACGGGAAAUCAACCUUUUGAGCUUUGUCUCGUGGGUUCGAAGAGUUUAAACGCCUUCGGGUUUGCGAGAUUGGGAUCUUCUGGUGUACUUUCUCGUACGGUUAGUCAACAUCGGUUUUGAAUGUCAUAAAAUGACUGGAGGAAUGUAGCUUCGAUCUCGUAUCGAAGUGUUAUAGCCUUUGGUAGAUGUGAUGUUUGAGACCGAGGAUUGCAACGGAUACCCUUUAAGGGCUAUUCGUCUGAUCUCUGAUACGUUGCCUUGACGUUGAAAGCUUGCUUAUGAUGUUAGGGUAUUACGGUCAAAAGGUUAGAACGGAUUAAAUUCGUUAAGGAUGUUGACGUAAUGACUUUAAACGACCCGUCUUGAAACACGGACCAAGGAGUCUAACAUAUAUGCGAGUGUUUGGGUGGUUAAACCCUUGCGCGUAAUGAAAGUGAUUUUGGUGAGAUUCGGGAAAAAUUUUUCGGAGCAUCAUCGACCGAUCAGGAUAUUUUUUGAUAGAUUUGAGUGAGAGCAUAUCUGCUAGGACCCGAAAGAUGGUGAACUAUGCCUGAAUAGGGCGAAGCCAGAGGAAACUCUGGU
rnacentral:rRNA from 2 species